AGUAAAGUCUGGGGAUCUGCCUGAUGGAGGGGGAUAACUACUGGAAACGGUAGCUAAUACCGCAUGACGUCUUCGGACCAAAGUGGGGGACCUUCGGGCCUCACGCCAUGAGAUGAACCCAGAUGGGAUUAGCUGGUAGGUGAGGUAACGGCUCACCUAGGCGACGAUCCCUAGCUGGUCUGAGAGGAUGACCAGCCACACUGGAACUGAGACACGGUCCAGACUCCUACGGGAGGCAGCAGUGGGGAAUAUUGCACAAUGGGGGAAACCCUGAUGCAGCCAUGCCGCGUGUGUGAAGAAGGCCUUCGGGUUGUAAAGCACUUUCAGCGGGGAGGAAGGCAAUAAACUUAAUAAGUUUGUUGAUUGACGUUACCCGCAGAAGAAGCACCGGCUAACUCCGUGCCAGCAGCCGCGGUAAUACGGAGGGUGCAAGCGUUAAUCGGAAUGACUGGGCGUAAAGCGCACGCAGGCGGUCUGUUAAGUUGGAUGUGAAAUCCCCGGGCUCAACCCGGGAACAGCAUUCAAAACUGACAGGCUAGAGUCUCGUAGAGGGGGGUAGAAUUCCAGGUGUAGCGGUGAAAUGCGUAGAGAUCUGGAGGAAUACCGGUGGCGAAGGCGGCCCCCUGGACGAAGACUGACGCUCAGGUGCGAAAGCGUGGGGAGCAAACAGGAUUAGAUACCCUGGUAGUCCACGCCGUAAACGAUGUCGACUUGGAGGCUGUGGUCUUGAACCGUGGCUUCCGGAGCUAACGCGUUAAGUCGACCGCCUGGGGAGUACGGCCGCAAGGUUAAAACUCAAAUGAAUUGACGGGGGCCCGCACAAGCGGUGGAGCAUGUGGUUUAAUUCGAUGCAACGCGAAGAACCUUACCUACUCUUGACAUCCAGAGAAGACUGUAGAGAUACGGUUGUGCCUUCGGGAGCUCUGAGACAGGUGCUGCAUGGCUGUCGUCAGCUCGUGUUGUGAAAUGUUGGGUUAAGUCCCGCAACGAGCGCAACCCUUAUCCUUUGUUGCCAGCGAUACGGUCGGGAACUCAAAGGAGACUGCCGGUGAUAAACCGGAGGAAGGUGGGGAUGACGUCAAGUCAUCAUGGCCCUUACGAGUAGGGCUACACACGUGCUACAAUGGCGCAUACAAAGAGAAGCGAGCCUGCGAGGGUGAGCGGACCUCAUAAAGUGCGUCGUAGUCCGGAUUGGAGUCUGCAACUCGACUCCAUGAAGUCGGAAUCGCUAGUAAUCGUAGAUCAGAAUGCUACGGUGAAUACGUUCCCGGGCCUUGUACACACCGCCCGUCACACCAUGGGAGUGGGUUGCAAAAGAAGUAGGUAGCUUAACCUUAGGGAGGGCGCUUACCACUUU
rnacentral:rRNA from 1 species